UUUGAUUUCCUUCGGGAUUGAUUAUUUUGUGACUGAGUGGCGGACGGGUGAGUAACGCGUGGGUAACCUGCCUUGUACAGGGGGAUAACAGUUGGAAACGGCUGCUAAUACCGCAUAAGCGCACAGUACCGCAUGGUACCGUGUGAAAAACUCCGGUGGUAUGAGAUGGACCCGCGUCUGAUUAGCUGGUUGGUGAGGUAACGGCUCACCAAGGCGACGAUCAGUAGCCGGCUUGAGAGAGUGAACGGCCACAUUGGAACUGAGACACGGUCCAAACUCC
rnacentral:rRNA from 1 species